UAAUAUUUUUUUCUAAAAUAAAAUUUAUCAAAAAUUUGGAAUUAAUAUUAGUUUAAGGGUCCAAUUUUUUUUUGACACUAGGAUCCGGGAAACUGUUGAGCCGGCCCUGAAUCUCCGCCACGUGAGUAGACAUCUUGCUUCAAUUGAAUAUCUCUAAAUGUCUUGUCUUUCCUUUACAAUUUGGGGUGGUGGAAGUUAGAAAAGACUAAGUUAUGUUGCAGUUUUUUUAUUGUUUUUUUUUGGUAAAUCGGCUUUCAUAUUAAAAACGAAAAGAAAAAUAAAACCAUACAAAGCCAUAGGCUUUUAGUUUGUUUUGGGCUCUACCCAGUAAUCAACUUAAGGAAACACAUAUUUUAGGAACUAAGCCCAGUGAUGAAACUGAGGCCCAAGUGAUGAGAUAGAUAAUCGAUGGAAGGUAGUGGAAGAGAGAAAGUCAAAAGAGCAGAGAGUCACGGGAAGAGAGGUCAGGACCGGAGAAACCAAAGCUGUAGCAUCGCCGAAGCCGCGCUUGGGUUUGCAUGUCUCAAGCUCUGAAGCCUGUUUCGAACUUGGCGAUCGAUCGAUCUUACAAUAGUAUCCACCGGCUUGAAGGUUUGUCGAUGGAGUCUAGAGUUUCUUUCUGACCAAAUCCAGUAGAUAGUGGCCUGUGCUGCGAUCAAAGUGAGGCGCCUUAAAGCUUUGUUCUGUGUGAGACCUUGUAGCUGAAGAACAGUACCAGUCCAGGAAUCAAGUGCUUGGAGUUGACAUCGAUCCGCAAUCUUCUGCCAGAUAGAGGAACUAUAGCUACACUGAAAGUAAAGGUGGUUCCUGCUCUCCAGACCCGUGCCACAUAACAAACAGUGAGGCUGGACAUCAAGCCCCCAUCUGAUUAGUCGGUCUCUUGUAGGACACCGAUCUAGAUGGACGAGCCAGGAGUGAAAGCUAUGGCGAGGGAUUCCAUAUGAAAUCCAAACAGUCUUAGCCCACGGAACAUGAGCCUUGGGUCCCUUCAUGGUGGUUAGAUGUAUCUGCAAAGCUAGUUGUUGCUCAGUUCUUGCCGGUGGUAGGAGCCAAACUCCAUCUAUGUAAAGGGAAGCGACAGUAGCUGACUUUGGGAUUCCUAGGCGAGUUUUUUGAUUGUUGUUAUCACUAAUGAUCUGUUCCAAUCAUAUAUGGUUAAGGAAGCUAUUGGUGGGUCUUGUUACCUUUCGAUUAUGAUUGUGCAUGAUCCUGUCUGUUUGGGAUUCUAAUGUUGUUGAUCUUGGUUGUUACUCAAGAAUGAAAUGUGUUUGUCGGAAGAAAACAUUAGUUUUGUAAUUUGCAUGCGUAAAAUCUUCAAAUCUUUACAGAAGUA